GUUUCCGUAGUGUAGUGGGUAUCAUGUUUGCCUAACACGCGAAUCCCCGGUUCGAAACCGGGUGGAAACA